CUUACUUGUAUGUAUGAACGACGCCAGCCAAAUGUAUUGAGACAGAUGCUAAUUUAAUAACACAGCUAAGUGUCUCUAAACUUUUGGUUUAGCUUAGCUUAACAUAACUCCUACUUCAUUUUGUGUAGCUAUGGUGUCUUAAAAGCACAAUGGUUGUAGUAUUAUGUAGUAUUGUUAUUGUACAAGACGUAGUACAUCUGAAUGACACUGAUCUAAUACUUAAUUUAAAUGUUUUACUUACUUGUAUGUAUGAACGACGCCGGUGAAAAGUAUUGAGACAGAUGCUAAUUUAAUAACACAGAUCCCGGGAUGUGUUCAAGACCAAAAAUGGAUCAAAGUUUGCCAUCACUUGUUUUUUGGGACGGUCACCCGUGCAAUUUGAUCUGAAUAAAGGUGCAGAUCCACGUUAUAAAUUGUACGAGUACGAAGAUGUCCCCCCCUCCUCUCCGUUCUUUGUUUCUUUUUUAAUUAGCGAAGCAUGCUGUUUAACAUUUAAUUGUUCCUCACACGCAUUCUUCUCCUUUCAGUUUACAUGAGUGGGGGGAAGAGGAAAUAAACAUAAUUAAUGUUAGCUUUGAUUAGCCUGCAGUGUGAGAUUGGCUCCACGGUGGCUCAAUACUUAUUAGUAUUUAAUGUUUAUCAACUUGUUUACUUCAGUUGUGAUAAGCUCUGACCUUAUUUUUGCACGCGGUGGUAAAUUGGCAAUUAGGAAAAAAAAAGAGACAAAUAGACUUAAAAUGUAAUCAUGCUUGUGUGUGUGUGUUUUAAGGUGAUAUGAUCACUUUGAAAGUACACAGAAGUAAAUAAAUUGAGGUACAAAAGGUGAUCUGGACUGUCGACCUGCAGUGUAAAUGUAGCUUUGGAGAUAAAGUAGGCGUAUUAGUGAGCACGUGCAGAAAUAUUACAUGGUGGCGAAUGAGGGCUAAAGAAAAAGCUUCUUUUUAAAUGUCAGCCAUGGUGCACUCGUGACAUCGUCCUGUAAGGUUACGGGGGGGGCUAAACUAUAAAAAAUAUAUAUAUGAUUAUGACAGCGAGGACACACACAUGCAAAGGCAAGAAAUGUCCUUUAAUGUAGCGUAGCUUUUGACUACCUCUAAUGUGCCAUAUUGACAUAAUGUAUUUCUAAUGUACUCUAUUUACAUAGCAAAACUUUAUACUGUAGUUACAUCAUUCAUAUCUAAUGUGCCAUAUUUACAUGUUGUGCCUCUGAUAUACUAAUUUUAGAAUCAGAAUGCCCUUUAUUGUCAUUUUAAAUAUAGUAGAAUUAAAUUGCAGCAGCUC